rnacentral:rRNA from 1 species
AACGAACGCUGGCGGCAUGCCUAACACAUGCCAGUCGAACGAGACCUUAGGGACUGCUUGCUCACGGGUGCGUAACGCGUGGGAAUGUGCCGUUGGGCUCGGGAUAAUAGUGAUAAAUUGCUGCUAAUACCGGGUGAUGUCCGCGGACCAAAGAUUCAUCGUCCAGGUAUGAGCCCGAGUUGUAUUAGCCUGUCGGUAGGGUAAUGGCCUACCAAGGCUACGUUACUUAGCUGGGCUGAGAGGAUGGUCAGCCACACUGAGACUGAGACACGGCCCAGACUCCUACGGGAGGCAGCAGUGGGGGAUAUUGGACAAUGGGCGCAAGCAUGAUCCAGCAAGGCCGGGUGAGUGAUGAAGGCCUUAGGGUAGUAAAGCUCUUUUACCCGGGAUGAUAAUGACAGUACCUAAAGAAUAAGCACCGGCUAACUCCGUG